CCAGAUUGUCCGCCAGGCCGUCCUCCAGAUCGUCCUCCAGAUCGUCCUCCAGGCCGUCCUCCAGAUCGUCCUCCAGGCCGUCCUCCAGAUUGUCCGCCAGGCCGUCCUCCAGAUCGUCCUCCAGAUCGUCCUCCAGGCCGUCCUCCAGACCGCCCUCCAGAUCGUCCUCCAGAUCGUCCUCCAGGCCGUCCUCCAGACCCUCCUCCAGAUCGUCCUCCAGAUCGUCCUCCAGGCCGUCCUCCAGACCCUCCUCCAGGCCGUCCUCCAGAUCGUCCUCCAGAGAACUCCCGGUCACUCGACUGUGGUCCCCCGGACUGUCCUCUCCCUCCCACCCCAUAUUGUGUUUAGGUUAUUUCUCUGUAUGGCCCAACCACCCACCUUUGUGUUGAAUCAUUGACUCUUCUGUGUUGUGUUCCUAAAUAAAGUUUAUUUUGUUCGUAAAGUCUGCGAUUGGGUCCUACUUCUGCCAUCAACUGUGAUAGAGAAUGAUGCAGCUUGUGUACUAACAAGAACUAAGAAAAGGGAUCAUAUUACUCCUGUUUUAGCAUCUCUGCACUGGCUCCCUGUUAAAUCAAUAAUAGAAUUUAAGGUACUUCUCCCCAACUAAAAGGCACUUGCUGGUCAAGUGCCCUCUCAUCUUUAGGAGCUUAUAGUAACAUGCUGCGCUAAAUGCUGGGUUACUUGUGGUUCUAAUAGUUUUAAAUAGUAGGAUGGGAGCCAGAGCCUUCAGUUAUCAAGCUCCUCGUUUGUGGAACAGUUUACACUCUCAGUCCAGGGGACAGACGCAGUCACCUCAUUUAAGACUAAUCUGAAGACUUUGCUCCUAAUCUAGUUAGGCCUGGCUCAGGUAAGCCUGAGCCCACUCAGAUGUGGGAGGAACUAUGAGAGCAUAUUAUUAAUCACAUUUAAGAGAGAAAGUAGAGAAGUGAGAGCGGUGUGAG
ensembl:lncRNA